ACUGCACUAUGAGCACUUACAGU
rnacentral:miRNA from 15 species